GAUGAACGCUGGCGGCGUGCCUAAUACAUGCAAGUCGAGCGAACGGACGAGAGGCUUGCUUCUCUGAUGUUAGCGGCGGACGGGUGAGUAAAACGUGUAUAACCUACCUAUAAGACUGGGAUAACUUCGGGAAACCGGAGCUAAUACCGGCUGAUAUUUUGAACCGCAUGGUUCAAAAGUGAAAGACGGUCUUGCUGUCACUUAUAGAUGGAUCCGCGCUGCAUUAGCUAGUUGGUAAGGUAACGGCUUACCAAGGCAACGAUGCAUAGCUGACCUGAGAGGGUGAUCGGCCACACUGGAACUGAGACACGGUCCAGACUCCUACGGGAGGCAGCAGUAGGGAAUAUUCCGCAAUGGGCGAAAGCCUGACGGAGCAACGCCGCGUGAGUGAUGAAGGUCUUCGGAUCGUAAAACUCUGUUAUUAGGGAAGAACAUAUGUGUAAGUAACUGUGCACAUCUUGACGGUACCUACUCAGAAAGCAACGGCUAACUACGUG
rnacentral:rRNA from 1 species